UACGUAGGGUGCGAGCGUUAAUCGGAAUUACUGGGCGUAAAGCGUGCGCAGGCGGUUCGUUAAGUCAGAUGUGAAAGCCCCGGGCUCAACCUGGGAACUGCAUUUGAAACUGGCGGGCUUGAGUAUGGCAGAGGGGGGUGGAAUUCCGAGUGUAGCGGUGAAAUGCGUAGAGAUGCGGAGGAACACCGAUGGCGAAGGCGGCCCCCUGGGCCAAUACUGACGCUCAGGCACGAAAGCGUGGGGAGCAAACAGG
rnacentral:rRNA from 1 species